GGAUAUUAAAGUGAGCCUCCCAAAGGAAAACGUGGAUCUACUUACCAACGCAGAAAAUGAUACACACGGAUUCGAUUUAGGCACGCUACAUUCAAAUGACUUGGAAGAGCAGUUUCUCUGAGCCAGGAUACUAAAGUCCGUGUUUAGGAAAGAGCCACAUUGUAUGUUUACCCUACCACAAAGAUACAGUCAUGUGCCUGGGAAAGAUUGAUGCCAGCUCCAGAAAGGCAUCUGAAUGGUCUAAGUAAUGCCAUCCAUCUGUCAGUAAUAGAUUCAGAAAUGGAAUUCUGGAGGAAAGUGGCUCUGGGAAUUGAACAGUGGCUCAGUGAUGUUGGGGCCACCAAGUCUGCAAUUCUCCCGACCUGUUCUUCACGGUUGUAAGAUGACUGCUGCAAUUCUCGGCAUCAUGUGCAUGUUAAUGUCAGGAGGAAGAGAGGAAGAGGGAGCACUGGGAUGUUACACUCAUUUUGUCAGGAAAAGCAAAGCCUUUCCAGACAGCCCCGAAACUUGCUUACCUCUCAUUGGCCAGCACCAUCACUUGACCACUUGUCCACUCCUAGCUGCAAGGAAAGUGGCAAAGUAGAAGGUAUUUGAGAAUGUCUGCUGGGUUAGCCAAAACAAUAGUGACUUCUACACCCAAUUUUCUGGGCACUGCAUAAGUAUCCUUGAUUCCUAUGUGAUCAGAGGGAGAGCAAACCUCAAUAAUGAAACAGAUUCAAUUUCCAUCACCCAGUGAGAUACCAUGGGAUUAGAAUAAAUUUUUAAAAAAACAAAUUGAAAAAAAUGCACUUUCAAAACAACAAAAUCAGAAAGGAUGAAAGGUGAUAUUUCUAGCAUAUCAGUUUGUGGUGGUAAAUUAAUUACCUUAUACAAAGGCCUCAGUGACUUUCUUCUCCUUACCUAACGAAUCAUCUUUAAAAUAAGUAAAAUAAAGAAACAAGAGCAGCAGCAGAUGCUUCCUAACAAGAAGUUACCAAAUCUGUUCACCACAAACCUGAGAAUUCAACUGUGGACAUUUGGACACCAGCAAUGAACAUGAAACUCAGCUUAUGAGGCAUAUUUGGCUAAAGGUCAAGGUGACUUAAAGUUCAUCAUAGGACAUCUACAAUUUGCAAAGCAGGUGACUGGAUAUGGACUCCUUCCAAGUCUCAUUUAAUUGGAUAAUGCCUACGUUUUAAGUAUCAGAAGUGAGUCUUUCUCUAUUAAAUGAAGUCAGUUCCACUAAAAUCUAAAUCUUGUUUGGCAGGCACUCCAUGUUUCUUAAUUUUUAUUCCAUGCUGUAUAUUCUUUUAGACUUGAUUUUCACUUUUUUUUCUUUUUUCCUGUAAGUUUAUCUUUGCUGUGAAACAAAGUGCCCUGCUUUGAAGGACAGGUUUGUGGGCUGCUGGUGGUGAGACAACAGCAGUCCUUCCAGGUCUUCCUCCCAUCACUGUGUUAGCUCUCCCUUUGUUUUUAAUUAGCAUUACACCAGUUAAUUCUGUUGUCUCUUAACCCUGGUUCUGCAUCCUCUUCUUUUCUAUUCCUUACUCUGCUCCUGUUUUUUCUUGUUCUGCUUUUCCAAGAAAUGUCUUCUCUCCUCAUCAGUUGACUGUCUUCUCUUUCCAGAGGGACCAUAAAGGUGCCAGCCUAAGGAACACGUAAAACGUGGGAACAGACAAACAAGCUGCUGCCUAUUACAGAGAUAGAUAAUUAACUUUGGACCAUUACAUGCAAUUCAUCAGCUUAUCUUUUUCAAACUUUAUGUAAGAAGUCAUUUCCCAAUGGUAACCACUUGCCAGCUGCAACUUUGACGCAUAUUAUCAGGAUAGGUGAGAUUGAUGGGGGCCCUUUGAACUCUUCCCAGGGAAUAAUCUUUAUAAUGUUACAGUUUUCUCUAUAGCAUGGUCAUAUUGUUAACAUUGGUUAUAAGGUCAUAUGGUUAGUAUGGUUAGUAUUGGUGGCUCACAGCUGUAAUACCAGCACUUUGAGAGGCCAAGGUGGGAGGAUCACUUGAGCCCUGGUGUUCAAAACCAGCCCUGGAAACAUAGCAAGACCUUGUGUCUACAAAAAAAAAUUAAAUAAAUUAAAAGAUUAGCUGGGCAUGGUGGCACAUGCCUGUAGUCCUCACUACUUGGGAAACUAAGGUGGGAGGAUCCCUUGAGCUUGGGAGGUUGAGGCUGCAGUGAGCUGCGGUUGUGCCAUGG
rnacentral:lncRNA from 1 species